AUACGUAGGGAGCGAGCGUUGUCCGGAAUUACUGGGUGUAAAGGGAGCGUAGGCGGGAAGGCAAGUUGGAUGUGAAAGGUAUCGGCUCAACCGAUAGACUGCAUUCAAAACUGCUUUUCUUGAGUGAAGUAGAGGCAGGCGGAAUUCCUAGUGUAGCGGUGAAAUGCGUAGAUAUUAGGAGGAACACCAGUGGCGAAGGCGGCCUGCUGGGCUUUUACUGACGCUGAGGCUCGAAAGUGUGGGUAGC
rnacentral:rRNA from 1 species